rnacentral:rRNA from 1 species
UACGGGGGGGGCAAGCGUUGUUCGGAAUUACUGGGCGUAAAGGGCUCGUAGGCGGCCAACUAAGUCGGACGUGAAAUCCCACGGCUCAACCGUGGAAGAGCCUGUGAUACUGCUGGUCUUGAGGGAGGUAGGGGCGUGCGGAACUUCCGGUGGAGCGGUGAAAUGCGUAGAUAUCGGAAGGAACACCGGUGGCGAAGCGGCGCGCUGGACCUCUUCUGACGCUGAGGCGCGAAAGCCAGGGGAGCAAACGGG